AUUCUGGCUCAGGAUGAACGCUGGCGGCGUGCUUAACACAUGCAAGUCGAACGGGAUCCAUCAGGCUUUGCUUGGUGGUGAGAGUGGCGAACGGGUGAGUAAUGCGUGACCGACCUGCCCCAUACACCGGAAUAGCUCCUGGAAACGGGUGGUAAUGCCGGAUGCUCCAGUUGAUCGCAUGGUCUUCUGGGAAAGCUUUCGCGGUAUGGGAUGGGGUCGCGUCCUAUCAGCUUGACGGCGGGGUAACGGCCCACCGUGGCUUCGACGGGUAGCCGGCCUGAGAGGGCGACCGGCCACAUUGGGACUGAGACACGGCCCAGACUCCUACGGGAGGCAGCAGUGGGGAAUAUUGCACAAUGGGCGCAAGCCUGAUGCAGCGACGCCGCGUGAGGGAUGGAGGCCUUCGGGUUGUAAACCUCUUUUAUCGGGGAGCAAGCGAGAGUGAGUUUACCCGUUGAAUAAGCACCGGCUAACUACGUGCCAGCAGCCGCGGUAAUACGUAGGGUGCAAGCGUUAUCCGGAAUUAUUGGGCGUAAAGGGCUCGUAGGCGGUUCGUCGCGUCCGGUGUGAAAGUCCAUCGCUUAACGGUGGAUCCGCGCCGGGUACGGGCGGGCUUGAGUGCGGUAGGGGAGACUGGAAUUCCCGGUGUAACGGUGGAAUGUGUAGAUAUCGGGAAGAACACCAAUGGCGAAGGCAGGUCUCUGGGCCGUUACUGACGCUGAGGAGCGAAAGCGUGGGGAGCGAACAGGAUUAGAUACCCUGGUAGUCCACGCCGUAAACGGUGGAUGCUGGAUGUGGGGCCCGUUCCACGGGUUCCGUGUCGGAGCUAACGCGUUAAGCAUCCCGCCUGGGGAGUACGGCCGCAAGGCUAAAACUCAAAGAAAUUGACGGGGGCCCGCACAAGCGGCGGAGCAUGCGGAUUAAUUCGAUGCAACGCGAAGAACCUUACCUGGGCUUGACAUGUUCCCGACGGUCGUAGAGAUACGGCUUCCCUUCGGGGCGGGUUCACAGGUGGUGCAUGGUCGUCGUCAGCUCGUGUCGUGAGAUGUUGGGUUAAGUCCCGCAACGAGCGCAACCCU
rnacentral:rRNA from 1 species